rnacentral:rRNA from 1 species
UACGUAGGGGGCUAGCGUUGUCCGGAAUCAUUGGGCGUAAAGAGCGUGUAGGCGGCCCGGUAAGUCCGCUGUGAAAGUCGGGGGCUCAACCCUCGGAUGCCGGUGGAUACUGUCGGGCUCGAGUACGGAAGAGGCGAGUGGAAUUCCUGGUGUAGCGGUGAAAUGCGCAGAUAUCGGGAGGAACACCAGCGGCGAAGGCGGCGACCUGGGUAGAUACUGACGCUGAGGUGCGAAAGCGUGGGGAGCAAACAGG